GAUUCGACUCGGCCCCUGCGAACUCAUGUCCUCCUAACGCCCCACCAUAUCCAACCACUCCUUUUGUGUGGGCCCCACUCACCCUCCCAUGGGUGUUUCGUUCCAAGUCAAACAAAGAAGAACUCGUGUUGGGAGGCGGCCGUCGUCGAGCUGGCAACGUCUUUCUCAUCCUCCUCGAGGAACCCCGAGGGAUCCCAACCGGACGGAGUUCCUCCAUCUCAAGGAAGAGGAGAGAGACCGAGAGAGAAGUGGAAAGAUGUGUCCCCUGAGAGUGCUGCUCAUCCUUUUGUCAGCAACCUUGGCUGGUUUCUUCGUGCUGAGAAACCUCAAGCCCCAGCCGGAACUCAACGAAGAGCGCCAGGAAGAAGACUCCCCAGAAGAACCCCUUUCCCUUACUACCAAAGUUGGAUCGGCCAUCAGCACAGGGUUCUGGACCUGCGUCGACAUGGCUAGUGGGAGGUACUUGUGGAGGAUUCUGAUGACCCCUUCUAAGGCCGGCAAGGAGAAGAAGGCUUGCUGAUCUGUCUGUGGGAAGAGCAAAUCUGGCAUACAACAAUGUGAUAUUGGUCCCAAACAAUUCCUUAUUUACGAUCACAGGUAAUACUCAAUAUUCCAUAAGUUGGCAAUUUAUUUAGACAGUGUUUGAAGUAUUAUGCAAUUUGUCUCUAUUGUCUUAAUGUUUGACGGUAUACCAGGUAGAUUUCUGGAUUAAUUCAGAUUAUACUCGAUAAAAUUUUCUACUGUCAAUCCUUGAGCUAGCAAAUUACCUAAGUUAUCUCCUUUGUCUCUUCAUGCAAUUUUCGUCUCAUCACCUGAUGUUCUUUCAAGUUUCAGCUGUAAAACAAAGAGUAUCGCAUGAAAGCAAACUCAUACCGGAGCAUGCCAUUUGGCACCUUUUCUGUUUUCUUUUCUUAAGCAAGAAGGAGAUACAGAUUGGAGCAGAACAGGUUCAUUGAUGUUCCUUUUGGUUUGUAACUCUCAAAACUAUCUACCAUAUAUUGAGAAUUCUGGAAGCCGAAAGUUUGCUUUCAGAUAUUGAGAAACAAAGAAAAGAAAAAAAGAGGCCAUUUUAUGUUGCAUAAACUUUUGAAGCUAAAAUGAAGGACAGUUGAUCUGGGCUUUGACCGAGUAGUGGUGGCUUCAUGGUGGGUCCUCUUGCCUGGUGAAUAACCCAUGUUUAUCUACCAAGCUUGCAUGUUUAUCAAUAUGAUUGUUCAGUCGCUUUCAGUGAACAGAUUGAUUAGUUGCAGGCACCUGUGGAUCCCUUAUGUAGCGCUGUUCUCUGCUGCACAUAUUCAGGUUUGUCUUCUUAUGCUAAUCUAUCCUUCAUCCUUAUCGAUGCUUGUCAUGAAUUGAUUUCGAUCUCAUAUUGAUGACUGACCAAAAGUCUUCUGUUCAGUCGGUUCUUUUAGUUAGAUUAUGUUCAGCUAUAACUCUUGAGAGGUCAUUUGCCUACAUUUAGAGCAUGUUUGUCGGCUCGUGCACAGUAUUUGCAAAUAUAAUUUUUAUACGUAACUGAUUGAGUUGAAAUUAUACGCAGGUAUUACUACAACCGAGUGAGCGGAAAUUAUCUGCUUCUGCACAAUUAUAACUGAUUUGAGUUGAAAUUAUUUGCAAGCAUAAUAAUAUGAGCUGCAUCUGCACAUACCAAGUGUUCGACCUCUUUCAUCUUAAAGAUUCUUGUCAAUUUGCUUGGCAUGAAGAGAAAGACCUUUACCCUCGAAAUGAUUCAGCUUACAAUCUUUUUAUCUUAGAGAUUCUUGCAGACUCUCUUGAAGAUACUUACUGUGGGUGUACCAUUCUGCUGGUUCAAGCAUUAUCUCAAACCGGAUGGCAAAUGUCACAGGAUUUCACGAGUGUCAAGUGACAUGGAGAUCACCAUCAAAGGAAGACUGCAUGAAUCUCAUGGAUAUAUAUAUAUCUUGGAGAUUUGAGAUCGGUGAAGGUAGAGUCAAACUCCACUAUGAUACCACAACCAGUGCAAGAUAUAUGUGCUUUCAACUCAUAAGCAUUUGAGGUAUGAAAUUUAGGCCCUUGGAUCAGUCAUCUCUGCACAUAAUUGCAUCUUCUGUACACUCUUCCUUGGGGAUUAUGUAUUUAAUUAGAAAAAGCUGCUGCACAUGCAUUUGAUCUGCUCU